GACGAACGCUGGCGGCGUGCUUAACACAUGCAAGUCGAACGGUAAGGCCCUUCGGGGUACACGAGUGGCGAACGGGUGAGUAACACGUGGGUGAUCUGCCCUGCACUUCGGGAUAAGCCUGGGAAACUGGGUCUAAUACCGGAUAGGACCACUGCCUGCAUGGGUGGUGGUGGAAAGCUUUUGCGGUGUGGGAUGGGCCCGCGGCCUAUCAGCUUGUUGGUGGGGUGAUGGCCUACCAAGGCGACGACGGGUAGCCGGCCUGAGAGGGUGACCGGCCACACUGGGACUGGGAUACGGCCCAGACUCCGACGGGAGGCAGCGGUGGGGAAUAUUGAACAAUGGGCGCAAGCCUGAUGCAGCGACGCCGCGUGAGGGAUGACGGCCUUCGGGUUGUAAACCUCUUUCAGCACCGACGAAGCGCAAGUGACGGUAGGUGCAGAAGAAGGACCGGCCAACUACGUGCCAGCCGCCGCGGUAA
rnacentral:rRNA from 1 species